rnacentral:rRNA from 1 species
UACGUAGGGUGCAAGCGUUGUCCGGAAUUAUUGGGCGUAAAGAGCUCGUAGGCGGUCUGUCGCGUCGAAUGUGAAACCCCGAGGCUCAACCUCGGGUCUGCAUUCGAUACGGGCAGACUAGAGUUCGGUAGGGGAGUCUGGAAUUCCUGGUGUAGCGGUGAAAUGCGCAGAUAUCAGGAGGAACACCGGUGGCGAAGGCGGGACUCUGGGCCGAUACUGACGCUGAGGAGCGAAAGCGUGGGGAGCAAACAGG